UACGAAGGACCCGAGCGUUAUCCGGAUUCAUUGGGUUUAAAGGGUGCGUAGGCGGAUUGAUAAGUCAGUGGUGAAAGCCCAUCGCUUAACGAUGGAACUGCCAUUGAUACUGUCGAUCUUGAGUACAUUUGAAGUGGGCGGAAUGUGUCAUGUAGCGGUGAAAUGCUUAGAUAUGACACAGAACACCGAUUGCGAAGGCAGCUCACAAAAACUAUAACUGACGCUGAGGCACGAAAGCGUGGGUAUCAAACAGG
rnacentral:rRNA from 1 species